UACAGAGGGCGCGAGCGUUGUCCGGAAUCACUGGGCGUAAAGGGCGCGUAGGUGGCGGCAUAAGGCCGUGGUGAAAGUCUGGGGCUCAACCCCAGAUCGGCCAUGGCGACUGUGUCGCUAGGGUACUGUAGAGGCAGGUGGAAUUCCGGGUGUAGCGGUGGAAUGCGUAGAGAUCGGGAAGAACAUCAGUGGCGAAGGCGGUCUGCUGGGCCGUUGCUGACGCUGAGGCGCGACAGCGUGGGGAGCAAACAGG
rnacentral:rRNA from 1 species